rnacentral:rRNA from 1 species
UAAACGACUCUCGGCAACGGAUAUCUCGGCUCUCGCAUCGAUGAAGAACGUAGCGAAAUGCGAUACUUGGUGUGAAUUGCAGAAUCCCGUGAACCAUAGAGUCUUUGAACGCAAGUUGCACCCGGAGCCAUUAGGCCGAGGGCACGUCUGCCUGGGCGUCACAC